GAGAGACUCACCGAGAUGCCCGGGAGCCUUUGUGAGAGAAAGUGGCGAAAAAGAAUGCGCGGAUAGUGGACUCGAAGGAGAAGGAAUUGGACCCGAGAAGGGUGGACACAGGAAGGAAGGAAGGAAGGAAGGAAGGAAGGAAGGAAGGAAGGAUGGAAAAAAGAGAGAAAGAAGAGGCGAGGACGAAGACCACGAAAUAUCUGUCAAUCGCAAGAAGGCGAAGAGGACCAGCAGAGUCCCGGCAAAGUCGAUUUAACGCCCGUUAAAGAAGCAAUUCCUUUAAGAAAGACGAGCGCCAGCAGGGACAAGCUUUAUACGUAAAAGUGAACAAUAUAAUAUUGAAAACAUUGGAAUCAAAAUUGAAAUAUGAAAGUGUUGUGAAAAUAAAGAACAAAUAAAUUCAGACUGUUGAAUUUGAUCGAACGUGUUAUCAAGCAUAUCAUGUCAACACGGCGAAAUCGUGAAGAAAUAAUAAAAAAAGCAAACAUCGCAGACAUUUCUGUUUCAAGGGGAUUGAAAGCACUGGGCACUCGACGUGUUUCAGUCGAGAUCCAAACAUCGAGAGGUAUAGUUCGAUUAUAUUGCGUGCUGAUAAGAUUUCAAUUUCACAUAGUGUUUGCAAGACCAAAUUGCGAUUGUUAAGGAUUAGUAAUUACGUAUCUGCAUCUUAUGUAAUUGGAGCAAGACUGGAAUUGUAUAUUAAAAAAGAAGAUAAUCUUCCCGAUCUGAUGCUAUGGCAGAGCCAUGAGAGGCUUUGAAAAAUAAUAAUUGCUUCUAGUCCAAGGAGAAAUUACGAUUCUUAAAGCAAAGGCUACUUCUUUGGAGACAACUCAAGUAUUUACUAUGUAUGUUUCACAUUUGGAUUCGAAACAGACAAAAAUAUCGAAGAAAGAUCACAAAAGACAACUUUCCAAGUCCGAUAUUAUGACAGAAUCGCCCACAAUUUUUAAAAUCAAUGAUUCCUCCAAAUCCGAUAAGAAACAGUCUUCUAACAUAUCCAGGCUCAAGAAUGAAUUAAAUUUAAUGCAAGAAAGUAAUAAUCUUCUGGAAUUAUAUCUUCAUAUACAGAAUGUACAAAGAUGCAUUUCCGAGUUAAAUGUAUCUGUAAUUUUACAAAAUUACAAAAGAUCUCGCUGUUUUCUUCGCAAACAAUCUUUCAAAUCUGAUAUUAUGGCAAAAUUGCCUGAGCCUUUGGAGAUCGAUGAUACUUUUAAGUCUGAUGAGAAAUCAUUGCCUCGCCGAAAAUGUCAUGCUUUGACGCCAAUAGAAACUUUUCUUCUCGGGUUUGGAAUCUUCGCAACAUUCUCGCUUAUCGAAUACUCAUU